ensembl:lncRNA
GCCCGUUUUGGUACAGAAACAUAUUGAGACAGUCUGCAAUCCAUGAAGAUGAGAAAAGGAGAGUAUGGAAGCAGAAUGCUCUGUGGGAGUUCAUGAUGGAGAAGACUAGAAUCAUGUGGAAGCAGCCUAACUAUGCUCCCUAAAGGGCCAGCUCAUUGUUACAUGUAGCAUCUGACUACAUCCAUGCCUUUUUUGCAAGUAGUCCAAAGCAUGUCUAACUCAACAUAGGCUGCAGGAGAGUGUGCUUAAAAGUCCAUUAUAUCUCAACUAUAACAAUAGGCUUCUCAAGGGCUGGUCAGCAGAGGGCCGUGUGACCCAUAGGAGCAUAUGUUCUACGCACAGAUGUGCCUGUGUACUCCAGAUCUGGGAUUUCAUCAGGGAUAAAUAUUUCCUUUUUCUCCCACAAGAAAUUAUUUUUCCUUCUGGAUGGAGUGGUGCAGAGAUGUGUACAGACAGAAUCUCGCAGACAUGCCCUUGCUACAAAGAAGACUGAUGUUAUCCUAGGCUUUGUUAGUCAGAAUCUCACCAACGGGUCAACGGAGGUGAUCUUUCCACUCAGGACAAGUGAUGCUACACAUGGAGCCCCGUGUCCACUUCUGGGCUCUACAGUACAAGAAAGACGUGGACUUGCUAGAGACAGUCCAAUGAAUGGCCAGAAAAAAACUAAGGGACUGUAACACCUGUUCUAUGAGGAAAGGCUGAGAGAGCUGGGACUGUUCAGCCUGUAUAAGAAAAGGCUCAGGGUGGAUACGUGAUGAGAUGGUGCAAAGAAGACAAAGCCAUUGGUACCCAGGGAUAGGACAAGAGUUAAUGUGCACAAACUGGAAUGCAGGAUUCUCCCUUUGAUCAUCCCGUAAUGCUUUCUUACUGUGCGAGUGACUGAAGAAUAGAGCAGGCUGUCCAGAGAGGCAGCGUGGUCUCCUUGGAGAUCUCCAAAAGCCACCUGGGCAUAUGCCUGGGCACUCUGCUCUAGGUGGCACUGCUUGAGCACAGACUGGACCAGAUGGACCCAGAGGUCUCUGACAACUUCAGCCAUUCUGUAAUUCUGUAUUUACAAAGUAAACAAAAGCACAGGUCUGAAUAUUUUCCUUUGCUGUGUGUCCUUGUGUUACUCUUGUUCUGUUCCCUGAUACAGCUGAAUAGAUACAAAACCAUGUGAAUGCAAGUAUGAAUUGACUUCAGUAAUCUCAAGAGAAAUAUUCAUGUGAAUAAAACUACUAAUGAACAGCCUUCUAUGUAACCUUAUUCUCUUUUGUAAUUUCCACCUUUAGAAUUAUAGCCUAUGAUCAAGGUAGUUUCAGUAUCAAAUUUAUGUUUUGAAGUAAGGAGGAUUAGUAAUUUCCAGAUAAGUUUUACAGAAGCUAAUAAGAUUUGACCAAAUAAACUUUCAUUGCUGCCUUCCAAAGUUAAAUCAUAGUCUUACAUAAACAAUAAAUUCCCCCAGUGAAUACCUGUUAAAUGGAUUUGCAAAUUGUGUUGCAGCCCAAUAAACAAACAAACAAAAUUAAUAAACAAACCCUUGAAUGUUCUUGUUAUACAAAUUGUGAAUUCAUUCCUGGCAAACGCAAUACCUCCACAAAUCUCCAAGCCAUGUAAAAGCAGUGUGAACUUUUGAGUAUGAAACUUAUUCAUAGAAAAAAAAUGUGGUAAUUCUUAUGUGCGUAUUUUUACCUUGUGCCUGUCAUUGGAACUGAAGAUUUAUUGCUACAAUACAUAUUAAAAGCAACCAACAGUAGACAAAAG